GAGUUUGAUCUUGGCUCAGAUUGAACGCUGGCGGCAGGCCUAACACAUGCAAGUCGAACGGUAACGGGAAGCAGCUUGCUGCUUCGCUGACGAGUGGCGGACGGGUGAGUAAUGUCUGGGAAACUGCCUGAUGGAGGGGGAUAACUACUGGAAACGGUAGCUAAUACCGCAUAACGUCGCAAGACCAAAGAGGGGGACCUUCGGCCUCUUGCCAUCGGAUGUGCCCAGAUGGGAUUAGCUAGUAGGUGGGGUAACGGCUCACCUAGGCGACGAUCCCUAGCUGGUCUGAGAGGAUGACCAGCCACACUGGAACUGAGACACGGUCCAGACUCCUACGGGAGGCAGCAGUGGGGAAUAUUGCACAAUGGGCGCAAGCCUGAUGCAGCCAUGCCGCGUGUAUGAAGAAGG
rnacentral:rRNA from 1 species